rnacentral:rRNA from 1 species
UACGUAGGGUGCAAGCGUUAAUCGGAAUUACUGGGCGUAAAGCGUGCGCAGGCGGUUAUGCAAGACAGAGGUGAAAUCCCCGGGCUCAACCUGGGAACUGCCUUUGUGACUGCAUAGCUAGAGUACGGUAGAGGGGGAUGGAAUUCCGCGUGUAGCAGUGAAAUGCGUAGAUAUGCGGAGGAACACCGAUGGCGAAGGCAAUCCCCUGGACCUGUACUGACGCUCAUGCACGAAAGCGUGGGGAGCAAA